AUUGAACGCUGGCGGCAGGCCUAACACAUGCAAGUCGAGCGGAUGAAGGGAGCUUGCUCCUGGAUUCAGCGGCGGACAGGUGAGUAAUGCCUAGGAAUCUGCCUGGUAGUGGGGGAUAACGUCCGUAAACGGGCGCUAAUACCGCAUACGUCCUGAUGGUGAAAGUGGGGGAUCUUCGGACCUCACGCUAUCAGCUGAGCCUAGGUCGGAUUAGCUAGUUGGUGGGGUAAAGGCCUACCAAGGCGACGAUCCGUAACUGGUCUGAGAGGAUGAUCAGUCACACUGGAACUGAGACACGGUCCAGACUCCUACGGGAGGCAGCAGUGGGGAAUAUUGGACAAUGGGCGAAAGCCUGAUCCAGCCAUGCCGCGUGUGUGAAGAAGGUCUUCGGAUUGUAAAGCACUUUAAGUUGGGAGGAAGGGCAGUAAGUUAAUACCUUGCUGUUUUGACGGUACCAACAGAAUAAGCACCGGCUAACUUCGUG
rnacentral:rRNA from 1 species